rnacentral:rRNA from 1 species
CACUUUUUCCCCUUUCUUCACAUCACAAGCGGCGGAGACGAGCUCCUGUGUGGUGGCUGCCCUGCAAGUGUCACCGGAGACCGCGGCGGGAGGAGCUCGCGCGGUGGACGCCUCGGCGGCGUGGGGAUGAGCUCGCGCGGUGGACGCCUCGGCGGCGCGGGGAGGAGCUCGCGCGGUGGUCGCCUCGUCGGCGCGGGAGGAGCUCGCGCGAUGGAGGCCUCGGUGGUGUGCGGAUGAGGUCGUGCCCGCGGCAGAGGAGCUCGAGACCGCGGCGGGAGGAGCUCGCGCGGUGGACGCCCCCGGCGGAGGAGUUCUUGCGUGGCCGCGGCCGGGAGGAGCUUGUACGGUGGAUGCCCCAGCGGCGCGGGGAGGAGCUCGUGUGUGGCCUCGGCGGGGCGGAGGAGCACGACAGGUCCCUGGCGGCGGGUUGAAUCCCUCCGCGUGCUCCUCACUGGCAUGAGCCCAUGCCACCGCGAUUUCUGGUCCGCGCGACCGGCUGGAGGUGCGGUCGUGGGCGGGGGCCGAGCGCGGCCUGCUCGCUUGCGCCGUCGCGGCGGGCGUCGAGGCUGUCCCCCUCCGCGAGACCUUCGCCGACGCUGACCAUCCGGCCUCCGACCCGCUCCAGGGUACCCCUUCCUCCGCAAGCUCGUCCCUGAACCGGUCAAGGUGCCGCCAUCUGCAGACGCCGAGCGCGCCUGCUCGCCCACGCCGACGCGGCCAGCGUCGGGUCUGCCUCUAUUCGCGUGGUCCUCGCCGUUGUGGCCAGCACCAGGCGCAGUGCUCGAAUGUGAACGAAGCCAGUGACGAGGACGUGACCGAGGUGCUGCUCGCCGCCGCGACCAGCACCAGGCGCGCGCUCCGGGGGUGAACUACAAGGCCUUCAGCCGCACCAUCGAGCCGCACAACUUCAUUUACAUGCAGGUAGCAUCCCGUAUCUGUAGGCUGCCAAGGUGUUCUGAUCCUGUACCUGCACGUAGCAUCCUGCUCACCCCUUCUGUUCAUUUUUCAGUUCAUCAACCUUCAAAAUUGCCAUGUCUUUGUCCGAGUAUAGACACAUCACAAUUUCGUAAUUACACUCUCACUUUUAUUUCUUGAGUAACCGUACUAGUAAACGCAUGGCGAUUGAAAAGUAUAUUUGCCAUGGCAACCAAAAUCAUGUGAACUUCUGUUAAGUUUUAUAGAUGAUGUUGCCAUGGCAACUAAAGCAUAUGUUUACCAUGACGGCAACCUAUUCA